CAGACUGCUGGCAGUUAAUCCCCCUGAUUAUGCAAAGACGGAAUUAUAGCGAGAAUUACUGACAGGCUGAGAGUUUCAUUCGGUCCAUCUGUGUGAGCCCCAGUAUGGAAGUAAUCAACAAAGCCUAGUGGAACCAGAAAGAAGUAUACAACUGGACAACCAAAAGUGAUUACAGCUAUAUGCAAUGUGCCUGACCAUCAGCUACUAAACACAGAACGUUCUUGGAGUAGAAUCACACAUUCAAAGAAAGAACAAAAAUCAAGGAACUAAAGUAGAAUAAACUAUCCAUCCUUCUUAGCCAUGAGGCUGUUAAUGAGUCUUUUCAGACUUUUCAAGAUUAGACA